rnacentral:rRNA from 1 species
CGGUGGAGCAUGUGGUUUAAUUCGAAGCAACGCGAAGAACCUUACCAGGUCUUGACAUCCCCUGACAACCCGAGAGAUCGGGCGUUCCCCUUCGGGGGACAGGGUGACAGGUGGUGCAUGGUUGUCGUCAGCUCGUGUCGUGAGAUGUUGGGUUAAGUCCCGCAACGAGCGCAACCCUCGACCUUAGUUGCCAGCAUUCAGUUGGGCACUCUGAGGUGACUGCCGGCUAAAAGUCGGAGGAAGGUGGGGAUGACGUCAAAUCAUCAUGCCCCUUAUGACCUGGGCUACACACGUGCUACAAUGGGCGGUACAAAGGGUCGCGAACCCGCGAGGGGGAGCCAAUCCCAAAAAGCCGCUCUCAGUUCGGAUUGCAGGCUGCAACUCGCCUGCAUGAAGCCGGAAUCGCUAGUAAUCGCGGAUCAGCAUGCCGCGGUGAAUACGUUCCCGGGCCUU